rnacentral:tRNA from 1 species
UGGUUCAGUGGUAGAACUGUCACCUUCCAUGCGGGAGACCCAGGUUCAAUUCCUGG